rnacentral:rRNA from 1 species
GUGACCUCAAAUCAGGUAGGACUACCCGCUGAACUUAAGCAUAUCAAUAAGCGGAGGAAAAGAAACUAACAAGGAUUCCCCUAGUAACUGCGAGUGAAGCGGGAAAAGCUCAAAUUUAAAAUCUGGCGGUCUUUGGCUGUCCGAGUUGUAAUCUAGAGAAGCAUUAUCCGCGCUGGACCGUGUACAAGUCUCCUGGAAUGGAGCGUCAUAGAGGGUGAGAAUCCCGUCUUUGACACGGACUGCCAGGGCUUUGUGAUGUGCUCUCAAAGAGUCGAGUUGUUUGGGAAUGCAGCUCAAAAUGGGUGGUAAAUUCCAUCUAAAGCUAAAUAUUGGCGAGAGACCGAUAGCGAACAAGUACCGUGAGGGAAAGAUGAAAAGAACUUUGGAAAGAGAGUUAAACAGUACGUGAAAUUGCUGAAAGGGAAACGCUUGAAGUCAGUCGCGUUAGCCAGGGAUCAACCUUGCUUUUGCUUGGUGUACUUUCUGGUUGACGGGUCAGCAUCAAUUUUGACUAUUGGAAAAAGAUUAGGGGAAUGUGGCAUCUUCGGAUGUGUUAUAGCCCUUGGUUGCAUACAAUGGUUGGGAUUGAGGAACUCAGCACGCCGCAAGGCCGGGUUUUUAACCACGUACGUGCUUAGGAUGCUGGCAUAAUGGCUUUAAUCGACCCGUCUUGAAACACGGACCAAGGAGUCUAACAUGCCUGCGAGUGUUUGGGUGGAAAACCCGAGCGCGUAAUGAAAGUGAAAGUUGAGAUCCCUGUCGUGGGGAGCAUCGACGCCUGGACCAGACCUUUUGUGACGGUUCCACGGUAGAGCAUGUAUGUUGGGACCCGAAAGAUGGUGAACUAUGCCUGAAUAGGGUGAAGCCAGAGGAAACUCUGGUGGAGGCUCGUAGCGAUUCUGACGUGCAAAUCGAUCGUCAAAUUUGGGUAUAGGGGCGAAAGACUAAUCGAACCAUCUAGUAGCUGGUUCCUGCCGA